UGGGGGAUAUUGCACAAUGGAGGAAACUCUGAUGCAGCAACGCCGCGUGAGGGAAGAAGGUUUUCGGAUUGUAAACCUCUGUUUUCGGUGAAGAAUAAUGACGGUAACCGAAGAGUAAGUCACGGCUAACUACGUGCCAGCAGCCGCGGUAAUACGUAGGUGGCAAGCGUUGUCCGGAAUUACUGGGUGUAAAGGGUGCGCAGGCGGGACUGCAAGUUGGAUGUGAAAUUUCGAGGCUUAACCUCGAAACUGCAUCCAAAACUGUAGUUCUUGAGUGAAGUAGAGGUAGGUGGAAUUCCGAGUGUAGCGGUGAAAUGCGUAGAUAUUCGGAGGAACACCAGUGGCGAAGGCGACCUACUGGGCUUUAACUGACGCUGAGGCACGAAAGCAUGGGGAGCAAACAGG
rnacentral:rRNA from 2 species